AAAAUUAUGAAUAUGAAAAAGAUGAAUAUAACGAAGAAAUUAUAGAUUUAUUAAACUUAUAUAAAACAGAUGAUUGGAUCACUAACAUUGACGAUUUAAAUUUAUCCGAAACGGAUGAGGUGAAUCUUAUAUUAAUGGAUACACAAGGUUUAAAUAGUCCUAAUGUAAAUAAACGAUAUGAUGAGAUAUUAUAUGCAUUAACUAAUUUAAUAUCAACUGAUAUUAUUUUUUUAACAAUGAAAAUGAUAAAUAAUAAAGAUUUAGAGUUUAUUGAAAAUAUUACAAAGGAUGCUAAUUUGUUUAUGUUACGAGCUUAUACAAGAUCUAAUGGUUCAACAUUUUCAAUAAAAAAAAAUAAUUUAGAUAUGAUAUUAAAUAACAUGGAUAGUAAUUUAGAAAAUAAUUCAUUAAUUUUAGAAAGUAUUGCAUCUAAAAAUUUGAUGUGGGUAGUGCAUGAUUUUAAUCAACGUUUGGAUGUACGAAAAGGGAAAUUGUGGUUAAAUAUUUUAUUAAAUUCGGAUAGAAGAGAUUUAGAUAUAAAAUAUUGGAAAAAAAUUAUAUCCAAUAAAAGUAAAGAUAAAUAUGAUGCUUAUACGACAAAACAAAAGAAAAUAGAAUAUUUAACAUAUUCAGGCAGUACAGGCCAUAAUGGUGACGCGAAAGAUAAAUUAAAAAACGAAACAUCCAGUAAUUAUAAGUUAGAUGUUCUUUAUAAAAAUAUAGAUUGUAUUUUGUUAAGAACAAUGUAUAAUAAUAAAAAUUUUGAUUUUACUAAUGCGAACUUGAGCGAUUUAAAUGAUGAAUAUAAAAAUGAUGUUACAUUAUUAAAGUAUAAAAUAUAUUUAAGAGCUUUGUUAUAUCCGAAAAAAAUGUAUACAAACGUUCAGAUGAAUUAUGCUAUGUAUAAGGAUAAAAAAGGAGGCGAUAGUAAUGAAUCUAGUUCUACUACAGAAGAAGAAAAAAAAAAAAAAAGCGGACAGCAGUGGUCAGAAUAACGAUGACACAAAAUUGAAUGUCUCGAAUAUGCGUAAUAGAUAUAUGUCAGGACAAGAUGUGUAUGAUUUUAUCACUUUUUUAAUUAAAUCGGCUAAUCAAAAUUUAUUUACUAACAUUAAUCAAUUUUUUAAAAAUUUCAAAAUUAAUAGAGCAGAAAUAAGUAGAAACGAUUUAAUUUUUUUAUAUAAAAAAUAUUUAUUAC
rnacentral:lncRNA from 1 species